GACGCGGUGGCCAAAAAUAUGGUUAGCGCGUUGGACUCUGGAUCAAGCGGUCCGGGUUCGAGCGCUGGCCGGGGUCA